rnacentral:rRNA from 1 species
CCGUUGUACACACCGCCCGUCACACCAUGGGAGUGGGUUGCAAAAGAAGUAGGUAGCUUAACCUUCGGGAGGGCGCUUACCACUUUGUGAUUCAUGACUGGGGUG